rnacentral:rRNA from 1 species
UACAGAGGUGGCUAGCGUUGUUCGGAUUUACUGGGCGUAAAGGGUGCGUAGGUGGUUCUGUAUGUCAGAUGUGAAAUGUCACUGCUCAACGGUGAAAAGACAUUUGAAACUGCAGGACUAGAGUGCAGGAGAGGAGAGCGGAAUUCUUGGUGUAGCGGUGGAAUGCGUUGAUAUCAAGAAGAACACCGGUGGCGAAGGCGGCUCUCUGGAAUGUUACUGACACUGAGGCACGAAAGUUGGGGGAGCAAACAGGAUUAGAUACCCUGGUAGUCCCAACCGUAAACGGUGUGCACUUGGUGUAGGGAGAUUUGACCCUCCCUGUGCCGUAGCUAACGCGAUAAGUGCACCGCCUGGGGAGUACGGCCGCAAGGCUAAAACUCAAAGAAAUUGACGGGGGCCCGCACAAGCGGAGGAGCAUGUGGCUCAAUUCGAUGCAACGCGAAGAACCUUACCAGGACUUGACAUGCAGCUGCACGCCCCAUGAAAGUGGGGAAGCCUUCGAGGGUGCUGCACAGGUGCUGCAUGGCUGUCGUCAGUUCGUGCCGUGAGGUGUUGGGUUAAGUCCCGCAACGAACGCAACCCCUGUGUUUAGUUGCCAGUUCGGGUGAUGAGCCCGGACGCACUCUAAACAGACUGCCCGUGUAAGCGGGAGGAAGGUGGGGAUGACGUCAAGUCAGUAUGGCCCUUACGUCCUGGGCUGCACACGUGCUACAAUGGUCGGUACAGAGGGAAGCAAGACCGCGAGGUGGAGCCAAUCCCCAAAACCGACCCCAGUUCGGAUUGGAGUUUGCAAUUUGACUCCAUGAAGUGGGAUUCGCUAGUAAUGGCGUAUCAGCUACGACGCCGUGAAUACGUUCCCGGGCCU